ACUCGGAGCAAGACCAAAUAGGGUUCCAUUGGCGUGGCCCGCGCUGGAACCGGGUAGGUUGCUAAAGGCGUGCAGUGAUGUACGUCGUAGAGGAAUGACUGUCCUCGACAGAACCCGGCUUACAGAUCGACUCUCCAC
rnacentral:RNase_P_RNA from 1 species